AUGCCCGCCCUGCAGAGACUUUUACUACUGCCUGACUUCAUGGUUUUGGAAACCGAGGCUCGAAGAGGCACACUUUCUCCAAACUGGGCGACUUCCCACCCUCACAAUGUUCUGGUGGAAGAAGCUACAGGACUGGACGACCAUUGGAUAUUGGGCAAAGAGGAGAGGAAAGCUGACUUUGAGGUCAGCAUGCACCAAGAAGGCUUCCUGGAGGAGGUGGGUCCAUCUCCAAACACGGACCCUUUAUCAGAAUCCAAUGUAAAUAGGCAACAUCGUUAUUAUUAUUACUAGUAUGACUACCCACCGCCCCAGCGGAAAGCCUUGUGUCUGGUAGGUGUCUGUGAGCCCUAGUCAAUUUCUGGCUCAUCUGGAGUCUUUAAGUGCUCGUUUACUGAGGCGGGAGGAUCCGCAAGCCAGGUGCGUUGUCAAGUAGCCACCUUGCAGACCACAGCCCAGGCACCAGCUAGAAGAAGGUGAGCAGCCCGCACCACAGACAUCUAGCGUGGACAAGCGUGCUCCCCCUGGGGCGUUUUCACACAGCAACUCCUGAGUCUCUCACAGAACAAGCCAGUGAGCAGCAGUGUCACUCAAGCCUUGUUGGGGGAGUAGGGGGUACUGGGGGGAGAACCACGUCCUGGCCCAGGUUCCAGCCGCUGGUCUGCCCCCAGCAGGGCUAUGUAGACAAGGCAGGCUGGUCUGUCAGCUUUGAGCUGUCAGGCUCCACGUGCCCCUGCCCUGCUCAUCCCGCAGCCCUCACAAGCCCCAGGGAUGGAUCAUCAGAGAUCGUUUUACUCCCAAGAGGACUUAUAAAUCAGUCCUUUUAUGGGGAUGGUUCCCACAGAAUGUCUGCUUCACUGUCAGAGUAAAAAGGGAAAGAAACAAGGAGGGGAGACAGAGGCCUGGGCUCCAAGUGGGGAAGCAAGAUGACAAUAUUUGUUCAGUGGGGCUGGAACGGAGGCCCCAAAAGAGCCCCACGUCUGGAGAGCCAGGCCUUUGAACUGUCCCACCUUUGUUAUCCUAAGAGGCUUGACGAUAAGCCCACCCAGCACAAAGAUACUCUCAGUUCCAGGCAUAUGGACCCCAUUAAUCUGCCCUCGCACCUUUUAAGAACUUUGCAGCUCCUGCCGCCCCCGAGCUGAAAGCAGGGCGAGAGCCGAGGGUUAAUUUUCUUAAAUGGAUUUUAGUCAGGCCCGGCCUGGCCUCUCUGGAGUGCACGAGGCUGACAGCUGGACCGCCGGCCGCGAUUUGUCCUGGGGUAAUGACCGCCCCGCGCUGACGUCUGUGGCGGAUGCAGUGAGCACGGAACUUGCCUGUCAUCCAGCCGAGAUGUCCUGCUAGGCCCAGGUCCAAAUCCCAGCGGCCAGCUGUGUGACCCUGGGCACCCUCCUCAGCAUUGCUGGCCCUCAGUGUCCCCCUCGGCAAAGUGGCCAAGAUAGUGACUGCCCGAGGCGCUGUCAGCUGGGCGACAGGAGCUCAAACACGGAAGCCACGUGACAAACGCUGCACAAACAGCAGCUCGCGGAGGGAGGCAAGGGACACAGCAAGGCUGAAAGCACAGUCGGCACGGCACUGAGGGCCUCAGAGGCAGGGUCUCCAGUGCCCCCACCCGGCCUCGGGGCCUCAGACUGUCCUUCAGGUAAGUGGCCCCGUCCAGAGGCUUGCGUCUACACUGGCCUCCACCUGCACUUCAUCUGCACGCAGCUCUCAUGGGAGAUGCUGGAUUCCAGACCUCUAAGUGGGGUGUGCCGUUGGCUUGCCUGCAGGACUCUUCAGAGCCUUGAGUGCACUCAUGGACAGCUCUCUAAGCUGCAUGGGCCUGAUCAGGUCACUGAGUGCUCUGACCUCAGUUUGCCCAUCUCUGUGGGAGGAGGAUCAAACCACCUCCUCCUUGGGCUGCGCGCUUGUUGAGAGGGUCCCGUGAGAUGGGGAGGGCCUGGGGGAAACACUCACAGAAAGCAGUUGUGCACCUUCGGCUCCAUGGAGAAGACACGGGUGCCCAACUCGGAGACAAACUGCACGGAUCAGAGCAAUGGCCAGCUUCCACCCUGUCCCCCCUCCACAGCCUCAGGCUGGCCUGUCCCGAGUCUGUACCAUCAGCGGUUCCAGGCUGACUGCUCCUCAUACUCCAGGUGAACCCUCGGAUUCUGUUCGUGAGCUGCUCACUCAUCGGCCUCUCUGGACACGGCCCUCUCACUCCUGGAAUUUAAGGGGGCAGCUCAGGCCACACGCUUCUAAUUUGCCUUAUUCUUAUUUUCAUCUGCUUGCUCAUGUUCAUUUUGAAAAAAAAAUUAUAUAACCCUUAAAUGCCACAAGUCUGCAGUGAAUUGCACAGAAAGUAUCGAUACCUCCCCUGGACAGCAAAUGCAACUGAUCAAAGCAAUUCUCCACGAGCACACACCCUGAACAGAACCCACUACACGCAGAGUGAUGAACCUCCAGGGGAAGUCAGAAGGGAGAGGUUCCAGGUCUGGCCAGAAUCACCCACUGUCUGUUCUCUGGAGAGAACCAGCAGGGCAGACCAGAGUCCAUAGGAGAAUGGCUUCAUAUCUGACACUGAAUUACUGACCUGGAAUUCACUAGGCAUUUCUGAAUUCUGUUUUUCAAUCCUUCCCUUUCCUUUUUUAAAAUAAAAGCAUAUAAGAAACAUGUAGGCA
ensembl:lncRNA